rnacentral:misc_RNA from 1 species
GAUGAAGAACGUAGUGAAAUGCGAUACGUAAUGUGAAUUGCAGAAUUCAGUGAAUCAUCGAAUCUUUGAACGCACAUUGCGCCCGCCAGUAUUCUGGCGGGCAUGCCUGUCCGAGCGUCAUUUCAACCCUCGAACCCCUCCGGGGGGUCGGCGUUGGGGACCUCGGGAGCCCCUAAGACGGGAUCCCGGCCCCGAAAUACAGUGGCGGUCUCGCCGCAGCCUCUCCUGCGCAGUAGUUUGCACAACUCGCACCGGGAGCGCGGCGCGUCCACGUCCGUAAAACACCCAACUUCUGAAAUGUUGACCUCGGAUCAGGUAGGAAUACCCGCUGAACUUAAGCAUAUCAAUAAGCGGAGGA